UACGGAGGGUGCAAGCGUUGUUCGGAUUCACUGGGUUUAAAGGGUGCGUAGGAGGGCAGGUAAGUCCGUGGUGAAAUCUCUGAGCUUAACUCAGAAACUGCCGUGGAUACUACCGGUCUUGAAUAUCGUGGAGGUGAGCGGAAUAUGUCAUGUAGCGGUGAAAUGCUUAGAUAUGACAUAGAACACCAAUUGCGAAGGCAGCUUGCUAAACGAUCAUUGACGCUGAGGCACGAAAGCGUGGGGAUCAAACAGG
rnacentral:rRNA from 1 species